CCUACGGGUGGCAGCAGUCGAGAAUCAUUCACAAUGGGGGAAACCCUGAUGGUGCGACGCCGCGUGGGGGAAUGAAGGUCUUCGGAUUGUAAACCCCUGUCAUGUGGGAGCAAAUUAAAAAGAUAGUACCACAAGAGGAAGAGACGGCUAACUCUGUGCCAGCAGCCGCGGUAAUACAGAGGUCUCAAGCGUUGUUCGGAAUCACUGGGCGUAAGGCGUGCGUAGGCUGUUUCGUAAGUCGUGUGUGAAAGGCGCGGGCUCAACCCGCGGACGGCACCUGAUACUGCGAGACUAGAGUAAUGGAGGGGGAACCGGAAUGCUCGGUGUAGCAGUGAAAUGCGUAGAUAUCGAGAGGAACACUCGUGGCGAAGGCGGGUUCCUGGACAUUAACUGACGCUGAGGCACGAAGGCCAGGGGAGCGAAAGGGAUUAGAUACCCCAGUAGUC
rnacentral:rRNA from 1 species